CAACCUCAACUCAUAUGGGACUACCCCCUGAAUUUAAGCAUAUUAAUUAGGGGAGGAAAAGAAACUAACAAGGAUUUUCUUAGUAGCGGCGAGCGAAAAGAAAACAGUUCAGCACUAAGUCACUUUGUCUAUAUGGCAAAUGUGAGAUGCAGUGUAUGGAGCGUCAAUAUUCUAGUAUGAGAAAUUAAUGAUUUAAGUCCUUCUUAAAUGAGGCCAUUUACCCAUAGAGGGUGCCAGGCCCGUAUAACGUUAAUGAUUGCUAGAUGAUGUUUCCAAAGAGUCGUGUUGCUUGAUAGUGCAGCACUAAGUGGGUGGUAAACUCCAUCUAAAACUAAAUAUAACCAUGAGACCGAUAGUAAACAAGUACCGUGAGGGAAAGUUGAAAGGAACUCUGAAUAGAGAGUUAAACAGUACGUGAAACUGCUUAGAGGUUAAGCCCGAUGAACCUGAAUAUCCGCAAUGGAAAAUUCAUCAUUAAAAUUGUAAUAUUUAAAUAAUAUUAUUAAGAA
rnacentral:ncRNA from 1 species